rnacentral:lncRNA from 1 species
AGUACCCUGGUGCUGUGAACUUCCCCUGGCUCGCCAGAGCCCUGCAAAAAUAAAUCUCCGGAGAAAUAGAUUUUGAAGAGGAAUUCGGUACAUAGAUCUUCUGUCAGCGGAGCAGACUCUGGUUCAGCCGUUUUUCAGGCUCGCUGAGUAUCCAGAAAUACAUCUAUUUUUACAUGGCUCUCUAGCGAGAGUUCCUCUUGCCUGGAGGGGUAGGAGGCCGUGGAAGGAGUCAGAGGAUGGGAGCGGAGAGGGCUGCGGGGACUGACUGGGACAGGACAGGAAGGUGACCGUGCAAUGCUGGUCUUACUGGGUUUUCCUGCACCCGCAGGUGCCCAUCUGCGGGGCCUUGGGUUUGCCCACCAAGUUUGAGUUUGCCUCGUCGCUACGCAGGCUCUGUGUGUCCCUCGGCCCACCGGACCCAUCUUAGUAACAGGCCUGAUGUCCCUGGAGGAGACAAUACACUAUGGCAGUUUGGCGCGCGCGCACAAAGAGCUGCAGCACCGCCCGGGGCUCGCUGUCGCAGUGAACAGCAGGAGCCACGGACCAGAUGGCUGGAGGGAGGUGCGAGCGGAACGCACUGGCAGGCAAUUAGGCCUCAAACAAUGGCCCGUGAAAUGUCAGAAGUGGCAGGGAAGGGUCGUGGUGGAACAGCGGGGUGACCACCACUCGCAUGAAGAUCAGAGGACUUCUCUCCUUCCACCAUAAGGGGCCAAGAGAUUGAACUCAACUCGUCAGGGUUUGGAGGCAAGAACCGUCAUGUUUAGCAGCAAAGACCUUUACCUACUGAGCCAUCUCCAUAGUCCUACUGACAUAGUUUCAUAAUGAUAAAUGCACUCUACUCGUUGGUGAUGUUUUCAAUUCCAAAAUCGUCUCCCUGUGUGCAUACGUGUGUGUGUGUGUGUGUGUGUGUGUGUGUGUGUGUACUCAUAUGUCUUUUUAUGUACAAAAAGAUGGGUUCCUUCAUGCAAAGUUGGAGUGGUCUGAAUAGAAGAAGAAGAAAGACGACCAGGAGUUACUUCUCUUCUGCCCCCUUGUGGGAUCCUGGAUCAAACUCGGGUUGUCAGGACUGCAUGGCAGUGUCUACCUGCUGAGCUCCUUGCCAGCCCCCUUACCUUUUUCAACAUGUAGAAGACAAGUAUGUGGCUGGUUCUACACAGUGGUGCACAGCAGACAGAAAGAGUUAAGAAGAAGAAGCUAGACUGCAGUUAAGUCCCGCCUUUUAUUUGUUGUUUUGUUUUGUUUUUUGUUUUGAGACAGCCUUUCUCUCUAUAGCCCUGGCUAUCCUGAAACUCACUCUGUAAACCAGGCUGUCUUUGAACUCACAGAGAUCCUCCUGCCUCUGCCUCCUGAGUGCUGGAAUUAAAGAUGUGCACCAUCAUCACCUGGCUUAGUCAUUUCUACCAUUCACUAUUAUUUAGUUAGUAUUAUUUAGUUCCUUGAAUAUGUUGUCUACAAAAAUUCCCCCAAAUAAUUAACUACUUCGUCCUGUGGAAUAAACUUAGGCAGACCUAAGUUUGAAGUCUGUCUACUUAUUACUGGC